rnacentral:rRNA from 1 species
UACGAAGGGGGCGAGCGUUGUUCGGAAUUACUGGGCGUAAAGGGCGCGCAGGCGGCCGCUCAAGUCAGGCGUGAAAGCCCCGGGCUUAACCUGGGAAUUGCGCUUGGGACUGUGUGGCUGGAGUUCGGGAGAGGAGAGUGGAAUUCCCAGUGUAGAGGUGAAAUUCGUAGAUAUUGGGAAGAACACCGGUGGCGAAGGCGGCUCUCUGGACCGAUACUGACGCUGAGGCGCGAAAGCGUGGGGAGCAAACAGGAUUAGAUACCCUGGUAGUCCACGCCGUAAACGAUGUGCGCUAGACGUUGGAGGCCCUAGGUCUCCGGUGUCGCAGCUAACGCUUUAAGCGCACCGCCUGGGGAGUACGGCCGCAAGGUUAAAACUCAAAG